rnacentral:rRNA from 1 species
GACGAACGCUGGCGGCGUGCUUAACACAUGCAAGUCGAACGGAAAGGCCCUGCUUUUGUGGGGUGCUCGAGUGGCGAACGGGUGAGUAACACGUGAGUAACCUGCCCUUGACUUUGGGAUAACUUCAGGAAACUGGGGCUAAUACCGUAUAGGAGCUCCUGCUGCAUGGUGGGGGUUGGAAAGUUUUGGCGGUUGGGGAUGGACUCGCGGCUUAUCAGCUUGUUGGUGGGGUAGUGGCUUACCAAGGCUUUGACGGGUAGCCGGCCUGAGAGGGUGACCGGCCACAUUGGGACUGAGAUACGGCCCAGACUCCUACGGGAGGCAGCAGUGGGGAAUAUGGCACAAUGGGCGGAAGCCUGAUGCAGCAACGCCGCGUGCGGGAUGACGGCCUUCGGGUUGUAAACCGCUUUCGCCUGUGACGCAGCGUGAGUGACGGUAAUGGGUAAAGAAGCACCGGCUAACUACGUG